GCAGUCGAGCGGACAGAAGGGAGCUUGCUCCCGGAUGUUAGCGGCGGACGGGUGAGUAACACGUGGGUAACCUGCCUGUAAGACUGGGAUAACUCCGGGAAACCGGAGCUAAUACCGGAUAGUUCCUUGAACCGCAUGGUUCAAGGAUGAAAGACGGUUUCGGCUGUCACUUACAGAUGGACCCGCGGCGCAUUAGCUAGUUGGUGAGGUAACGGCUCACCAAGGCGACGAUGCGUAGCCGACCUGAGAGGGUGAUCGGCCACACUGGGACUGAGACACGGCCCAGACUCCUACGGGAGGCAGCAGUAGGGAAUCUUCCGCAAUGGACGAAAGUCUGACGGAGCAACGCCGCGUGAGUGAUGAAGGUUUUCGGAUCGUAAAGCUCUGUUGUUAGGGAAGAACAAGUGCAAGAGUAACUGCUUGCACCUUGACGGUACCUAACCAGAAAGCCACGGCUAACUACGUGCCAGCAGCCGCGGUAAUACGUAGGUGGCAAGCGUUGUCCGGAAUUAUUGGGCGUAAAGGGCUCGCAGGCGGUUUCUUAAGUCUGAUGUGAAAGCCCCCGGCUCAACCGGGGAGGGUCAUUGGAAACUGGGAAACUUGAGUGCAGAAGAGGAGAGUGGAAUUCCACGUGUAGCGGUGAAAUGCGUAGAGAUGUGGAGGAACACCAGUGGCGAAGGCGACUCUCUGGUCUGUAACUGACGCUGAGGAGCGAAAGCGUGGGGAGCGAACAGGAUUAGAUACCCUGGUAGUCCACGCCGUAAACGAUGAGUGCUAAGUGUUAGGGGGUUUCCGCCCCUUAGUGCUGCAGCUAACGCAUUAAGCACUCCGCCUGGGGAGUACGGUCGCAAGACUGAAACUCAAAGGAAUUGACGGGGGCCCGCACAAGCGGUGGAGCAUGUGGUUUAAUUCGAAGCAACGCGAAGAACCUUACCAGGUCUUGACAUCCUCUGACAACCCUAGAGAUAGGGCUUUCCCUUCGGGGACAGAGUGACAGGUGGUGCAUGGUUGUCGUCAGCUCGUGUCGUGAGAUGUUGGGUUAAGUCCCGCAACGAGCGCAACCCUUGAUCUUAGUUGCCAGCAUUUAGUUGGGCACUCUAAGGUGACUGCCGGUGACAAACCGGAGG
rnacentral:rRNA from 1 species